UCAAAUCAGCAGCGCUGCAUGGAGCCCGGGGUCAGCAGGGGACUCAGAGUCCUCCGCUGACCCUGGGCUCCAUGCUGCACUGCUGCUUUGA
rnacentral:pre_miRNA from 1 species